CCCGGACAAGGAGAGGGGGUGCACGCACGCGUUGUAAGAGGCCAGGAGGGAAUAAACCCAAAGUUUCUGUGACUUGGCCAAGGUCACGGAGGAGACUCCCGGGCUUUCCACCGCUACGCACAACUUUCUGUAAUACCAUCUGCGCUCCUGAGGCUGGCUACGCUCCAAGUAUCGUCGUAAGAAAUGUGUUUGACCCUCCCAUCCUCACCCCAUGUUUUCACGAGAACCUAAUGGCCCUUGAAAAGGUGACAGAAUAUUCAGUGGGACUUCACCUGAAUUUGAGGAGUGAGUCAUAUAACCACUGAUGGAUAUGACAGAAUAUUCAGUGGGACUCCACCUGAAUUUGAGGAGUGAUUCAUAUAACCACUGAUGGAUAUGGUGCCUGUUGGAACUGUGUGCCUCUACAUUUUGAAGAAGAGGAUCCCAUUUAGGACAUCACAUUACAUUUCAUCAUUAUGUCUCCUUAAGUUCCUCCUGAUUAUGAUGAUUUCUCAGACUUUCCUUGUUUUUGAUGACCUUGACAGUUUCGAGGAGUACUGGCCUCGGGGAUGGAGGUUACAUCUCUACUCGUUUCCCCUUGUUCGCAUUCCAGGACUCCGCCUGGCAUGGGGGCUGGAAUUCUUUCAGGCCCGGGGUUUCUACAUGAGCUCCUAUGUGGAAAUCGCUGGGCUGCUCCAGGAUGUCCUCCGCUGUGCCCCAUCCUGUCCUCCUUAUCACAGCUGCAGGCGGCCUGAGCCACAUUCCUCCUGCCUGAGUCAUUGCCCCAGGUCCCAGGCUGCCUUUCCUCCAGCUUGGCCUGGGGCCAGCCCCUGUGCGGCCCAUCUCGUUGCUUGUCCCUUUAUUGUCAAGAAUGCUACAGAUUUAUUUUUGUCGCCUGCAUGGAAUGGCAGCUAUUAGCCAAAGAAAAUUUUCCAUACGUUAAGUUCUUCCCUUUCCUUUUCAGCAUCCUUCUCAUCAAGAUCUAGCCUAUCUCAUCCCUACUGGGCCCUACUCCUAAUCACAGCAUUAUCUGUAUAUUUUUUAACUUAGGUUUCCUUGAUGGUUAUAACACCAUUUGAUCAAAAGUCUAAGCUAUGUUUUUAGGUUUAGCCCGUGCACGCCCAUCCACCCACUGGUGGACUUCUGACCUCCACCUUCCUGCUUGUUGAUGUCUUAUCCCCUAGAGCACCUUACUAACCCUCCUAUGGCAGAAGGCUUCCAUUCCCCACGUGAAUGGUUGAAUGAAUGAAAGGGAACAAACACAAUGUUGCCUAAUGUCUAAACCAAGUGAUUUUGAAUUUGUUGAAUUAACUGGAAAAUUUGACACCAGGUGGAUCUUAUUUUUCGUAGAUAACUGGCAGGCCCCUGGAAUCCUGUCAUAUUCAAUUUCAAGUUUAAAAUACCUCUAAUACAUAAUUUGGGGCUAAAUUUUGUGCUAAUUACUUGAUUCUAGAUAAGCAACAAGACAUUAUGGUGGUUUUGGAAAAGGUAUGGAAGGAAAACUUAAAAUUGAAAACAUUCUCUUCAUGGCCAUUGACAUUUUUACCCAGAAAUUACAGUGAGACUGCCUAGUAUCCCCACAGCAUAACUUAAGUCAGGGGGUAUUUAUUCUGAGCACAACCCUCUUACUUUUAAGAAUUAUUCUCUAAACAUUGAAUGCCCAUUAUGUAUCACGCAAGAUGAUUAGUAAUUUCUAGUCAUUUUUCCCUAAAAGAGGAAAUAUUCCCUAGUGUACUCACUUCUACUCUCUCCGUGGUUUAGUCAUCAAAUGUUUACCAAGCUCUACCAUGUGCCAGAUGCUCUCAGUGCCAGGCUCCCUGCCCUUAAAGGGCUCAGCCUGGCGACCAUGCAAGGCAUCUAGCAUGGAGCCUGUGGACCACCAGAGCUAGCGGGGGUGUGUGUGUGUGUGACAGGGAAGGGACAGGGAAGCUUUCUGGAGGAGGUAACUGCUAAGCUGAGUGCUGAGGGAUAAGGGAACUCUCCAAGCUGUAGCAGACAAGGAACGAGCUCGCCACGUUGUGGGAAAUGAAAUGUUGUGUUGGACACAACUUAUUUGAAAGGAGACAUUAGGCCAGAAAUUUAAAUGGGAAUUAAGAAGCAGUCUUCCAUAUCCAGGACAUAGCUCUGCGGUAAAACCAGGAUGCCAAGUCUCCAUCCCUUCAUCAGGAUCUGCUCCUCAAGAAGUGGUGAGGCUUGGUGAAUGAGGAUUCCAGAGAAGCCAGGGCACAUCCUCCCAGACACCUUUCUCCUUCCCGGCAGCCUCAUGACCAGCUUGGACCAUGACUCCUGUGCAGCCCUGGGCAGACAGCCCAAUAUCCCUGGGCCUCAGUCUCCUUCAUGGUUAAACUUGGAGCAGUGAUGCUCCCCAGUUAGGAGCUGUUUCUCUGAGUUCUUGGCCCAGCUCUUGUAAAAUGCAGAUACUGCUAGGCACCUAAAUGAGUUCAUGCUGGUCUCAGCAUUGUGUAUAGGUAACAGGAAGUGUUUGCCCAUGGUGAGGGUGUGUGUAGACAGAAUGGGGUUGGGCCCUUCCUUACAGAGGGACCUGCGCAUGGGGUGGGAGGGAGAGGAAGCAGUGCCUGGCUUAGAGCUUUGCUUCUGGCCCCGCCAGUCCCCAUUUACUCUGAUUUAAAAGACAAAACAGAAGCUAUAGUUUCUGGAAUGAUCCUGGGUCACAGACUCUUCAGAAAUGGAAGGUACCUCACCACUCAUCACUCCCACCCUUGAUUCAGUCCAGUCAAUUUCUGUUCUUUUCCAUUAGAUCCAAUGACUUAGACGGGAACAAAGCAGUAGUUUAAAUAAAUAUCAUAUCUGGCAAAGCCAUGAAGCAUUUUCCGCCUAGUUGUUGGUUCUCACUCAAUUACUUGUGAAGCGUGUAAGUCGCGCAAGCCUCACUGCUGGGUGUGGUGAUGGCAGUGAAAGGUGGUUUAGAAGAAAUGUGUCCACCCAGUCUUCUCCUUUAGAGAAAGUAUAUUGCUCAGGGUUCUCCAGAGACACAGAACCAGUUGGAUGUGUGUAUACAUGUAGAUGUAGAAAGAGAGAGAUUCAUUUUAGGGAAUUGGCUCACGUGAUUGUGGGGCUGGCAAGACUGCAGUGUGAAGGGCAGGCCAGCAGGCUGGAGAGCCAGGGAAGAGCUGAGGUUGCAGCUGGAGUCCAAAGGCAGCCUGAAGGCAGAAUUUCUCUUCCAGGGCCCUCCAUCUUUUUCUCUGAAGGCCUUCAACUGACUGGAUGAGUCCCACCCAUAUUAUGGAGAGUAAAGUGCUUUACUCAAAGUUCACUGGUUUAAAUGUUAAUCUCAUCUAAAAAAUACUCUCACAGUGACUUCUAGACUGCUGUUUGACUAGAUAUCUGGGCACUGUGGCCACCAGGUUGCACACAGAGUUAACCGCCACGGAACAGUCCUGGCAUGGUCAUUUCGGCGUUCUCGUGGUACGUCCAGGCAGAGACCCUGUGCUCCUUCUC